rnacentral:rRNA from 1 species
UGGACUCUGGGAUAGCCACCGGAGACGGUGGUUAAUACCGGAGAUGACCACUCUAGGCAUCGGGGGGUGGUGGAAAGUUUUUCGGUCCAGGAUGUGCUCGCGGCCUAUCGGCUUGUUGGUGAGGUAAUGGCUCACCAAGGCUUUGACGGGUAGCCGGCCUGAGAGGGUGACCGGUCACACUGGGACUGAGACACGGCCCACACUCCUACGGGAGGCAGCAGUGGGGAAUAUUGGACAAUGGGCGGAAGCCUGAUCCAGCAACGCCGCGUGAGGGAUGACGGCCUUCUGGUUGUAAACCUCUUUCAGUACCGACGAAGCGAAAGUGACGGUAGGUACAGAAGAAGGACCGGCCAACUACGUGCCACCAGCCGCGGUAAUACGUAGGGUCCGAGCGUUGUCCGGAAUUAUUGGGCGUAAAGGGCUCGUAGGCGGUUUGUCGCGUCGGGAGUGAAAACAGCGGGCUUAACUCGUUGCUUGCUUUCUAUACGGGCAGACUACAGGUAUGCAGGGGAGAAUGGAAUUCCUGGUGUAGCGGUGAAAUGCUCAGAUAUCAAGAGGAACACCGGUGGCGAAAGCGGUUCUCUGGGCAUUACCUGACGCUGAGGAGCGAAAGUGUGGG